CAGUCGGCGGCGGGGACCAAGCGGCGCGUCUUCAUCAUCGAGACGAUGGGUGGCUACUGCGGGUACCUGGCCACCAUGGCAGGGCUGGCAGCCGGUGCUGAUGCUGCCUACAUCUUCGAGGAGCACUUCAGCAUCCGUGACCUGCAGAUCAACGUGGAGCACUUAACUGAAAAGAUGAAGACGACGGUGAAGCGCGGGCUGGUGCUCAGGAAUGAGCACUGCAACGAGAACUACACCACUGACUUCAUCUACAACCUCUACACGGAGGAGGGCAAAGGCAUCUUCGACUGCCGCAAGAACGUACUGGGACACAUGCAGCAGGGUGGCGCCCCGACCCCCUUUGACAGGAAUUUCGGCACUAAAAUGGGCGCCAAGUCGGUGGCUUGGAUCACUGGCAAGAUCAAGGAGUGCUCCCGGCACGGUCGCAUCUUUGCCAACACGGCUGACUCGGCGUGCCUGCUGGGCAUGCGCAAGCGCAGCCUGGUCUUCCAGCCCCUCACCGAG
rnacentral:misc_RNA from 1 species